GCCAGAGUGGUGUAGUGGUUUGAAUGUUGGACUACAACUCUGGAGAUCAGGGUUUGAUUCCUGGUUCAGCCA